UCUCUCGCUCUUCUUUCACCUUCAAUUCCUCUGACCGCCGCAUGAAACAAAAUGAUGAGUGCCAUCGCACUGUGCGCUGUUCCUUCCCUCAACAACUGUGUUCUAGCUCGUUGAGCAACUUAGCUUAAUCAGUCUCUUAUUGGUGUGUUCUUCAAUUCUCGUUCGCAGUUAGCUUUUUUCCUCGCUCUCGCGCCCUUCAUUCGGUUCUGCUGCCAUAUCGAUCUCCUCCGACGAGUACGUAUGUACGCGCGCGGUAAGAAUGCUGUGGCUGACCCAAUAUAAUAGAUCUCUGGGGAAUCGAAAACCUACGGGAUAUUGGUGCGGUUCAAUCAGAAAGCUUGCGCUCCAAAGCCCAGGGGCUCCACUCUUUGACUGAGCCGUGCCAAUAUCACGUCCUCGCUUUGCUUGCCCAUGCAUCCUCAUUCCUUCUCAAUCUUUCGCCAAUUACUCCAUGCAUGUACCUGACUACCUGAGUUUAGAUCUCUUCUCGCGAUGAUGACUGCGGUGUUUUUUUUUUUGUGUGUGUGUGCGUGUUCUUAACAACAUGCCGCGCGCAACCUUUCGCUUCUGUGUGAGAAAUCAUGUGUUAAUAAUGUUGUUCUUCAUCAUUUCAUGCUUGCGAGCUACAUCCUAGCUCUCUCGUAUCUACAAGUUUUCUGUUGUGGGUACUUUAAUUCAUCGUGUGGCGGAGUUCUUUUGCUCUCUUAUUUUUAAUGGGUAAUAACUGUAACAAAUUGUCUGUGAAAUUAAUAAGAUGGUUUACACGAUUGUAUGUA